CGGGUGUAGCUCAGUUGGUUAGAGCGCCAGAUUGUGGCCCUGGAGGUCGUGGGUUCGAUUCCCGUCGCC
rnacentral:tRNA from 2 species